rnacentral:rRNA from 2 species
GGCGGCGUGCCUAAUACAUGCAAGUCGAACGCGUCUUGGUUAUUGAUGUUNNAUGCUUGCAUUUAACUGAUUUAACAUUGAGACNAGUGGCGAACUGGUGAGUAACACGUGGGUAACCUGCCCUUGAAGUAGGGGAUAACACUUGGAAACAGGUGCUAAUACCGUAUAACAACCAAAACCACCUGGUUUUGGUUUAAAAGAUGGCUUCGGCUAUCACUUUANGAUGGACCCGCGGCGUAUUAGCUUGUUGGUAAGGUAACGGCCUACCAAGGCAAUGAUACGUAGCCGACCUGANAGGGUAAUCGGCCACAUUGGGACUGAGACACGGCCCAAACUCCUACGGGAGGCAGCAGUAGGGAAUCUUCCACAAUGGACGAAAGUCUGAUGGAGCAACGCCGCGUGAGUGAUGAAGGGUUUCGGCUCGUAAAACUCUGUUGUUGGAGAAGAACAGGUGUGAGAGUAACUGUUCACAUCUUGACGGUAUCCAACCAGAAAGCCACGGCUAACUACGUGCCAGCAGNCGCGGUAAUACGUAGUGGCAAGCGUUGUCCGGAUUUAUUGGGCGUUAAGCGAGCGCAGGCGGUUCUUAGGUCUGAUGUGAAGCCUCGGCUUACCGGAGAAGUGCAUCG